CUCAGGACGAACGCUGGCGGCGUGCUUAACACAUGCAAGUCGAACGAUGAAGCCCAGCUUGCUGGGUGGAAGAGUGGCGAACGGGUGAGUAACACGUGAGUAACCUGCCCUGAACUCUGGGAUAAGCACUGGAAACGGUGUCUAAUACUGGAUAUGACCUAUCACCGCAUGGUGUGUAGGUGGAAAGAUUUAUCGGUUCUGGAUGGACUCGCGGCCUAUCAGCUAGAUGGUGAGGUAAUGGCUCACCAUGGCGACGACGGGUAGCCGGCCUGAGAGGGUGACCGGCCACACUGGGACUGAGACACGGCCCAGACUCCUACGGGAGGCAGCAGUGGGGAAUAUUGCACAAUGGGCGCAAGCCUGAUGCAGCAACGCCGCGUGAGGGAUGACGGCCUUCGGGUUGUAAACCUCUUUUAGUAGGGAAGAAGCGCAAGUGACGGUACCUGCAGAAAAAGCACCGGCUAACUACGUGCCAGCAGCCGCGGUAAUACGUAGGGUGCAAGCGUUGUCCGGAAUUAUUGGGCGUAAAGAGCUCGUAGGCGGCUUGUCGCGUCUGCUGUGAAAUCCCGGGGCUCAACCCCGGGCCUGCAGUGGGUACGGGCAAGCUAGAGUGCGGUAGGGGAGAUUGGAAUUCCUGGUGUAGCGGUGGAAUGCGCAGAUAUCACGAGGAACACCGAUGGCGAAGGCAGAUCUCUGGGCCGCUACUGACGCUGAGGAGCGAAAGCAUGGGGAGCGAACAGGAUUAGAUACCCUGGUAGUCCAUGCCGUAAACGUUGGGAACUAGAUGUAGGGCCUGUUCCACGGGUUCUGUGUCGUAGCUAACGCAUUAAGUUCCCCGCCUGGGGAGUACGGCCGCAAGGCUAAAACUCAAAGGAAUUGACGGGGGCCCGCACAAGCGGCGGAGCAUGCGGAUUAAUUCGAUGCAACGCGAAGAACCUUACCAAGGCUUGACAUAUACGAGAACGGGCGAGAGAUCGUCAACUCUUUGGACACUCGUAUACAGGUGGUGCAUGGUUGUCGUCAGCUCGUGUCGUGAGAUGUUCGGUUAAGUCCGGCAACGAGCGCAACCCUCGUCCUAUGUUGCCAGCACGUAAUGGUGGGAACUCAUGGGAUACUGCCG
rnacentral:rRNA from 1 species